rnacentral:rRNA from 1 species
CCUACGGGAGGCUGCAGUGGGGAAUAUUGGACAAUGGGCGAAAGCCUGAUCCAGCCAUGCCGCGUGUGUGAAGAAGGCCUUCGGGUUGUAAAGCACUUUCAGUGGGGAAGAAAGCCUUGGGGCUAAUACCCUCGAGGAAGGACAUCACCCACAGAAGAAGCACCGGCUAACUCCGUGCCAGCAGCCGCGGUAAUACGGAGGGUGCGAGCGUUAAUCGGAAUUACUGGGCGUAAAGCGCGCGUAGGCGGUCUGAUAAGUCGGUUGUGAAAGCCCCGGGCUCAACCUGGGAACGGCAUCCGGAACUGUCAGGCUAGAGUGCAGGAGAGGAAGGUAGAAUUCCCGGUGUAGCGGUGAAAUGCGUAGAGAUCGGGAGGAAUACCAGUGGCGAAGGCGGCCUUCUGGACUGACACUGACGCUGAGGUGCGAAAGCGUGGGUAGCAAACAGGAUUAGAUACCCUUGUAGUC